rnacentral:lncRNA from 1 species
GAACCUUGAAGGGGAUUUGCAUGACUAUAGCUUUGAUAAUAUGUUAUAAAUGCUUCCGCUGCUUUCGUAUAUCAUAAUUGUUUUGGAUAUGCAUGAUAGUCAUUUAGAAAUCCCAUGCUAGAAUCUCAUAGAUUUCCCUUCAAGUGGUAUCAGAGCCAAAGGUUUAUGUAUAAUGUGUCCUUUUGGAUUUUAUGCAUAUGGGUAUUAAUGUUAUGUAUGACAUAUUGUUGUUUCAUUCAAAGUAUGUUUAUCUUUUGUUUUCAAUAGUUGAAAAAUGUUAGUCAAUAGUUGAGAAAGGUAUGUAUGCAAAAGUGUUUUGUAUGCAUGAAUGAAAAAUGAGUUUAGAACUAGUAUGACAUAUUAUUUCUUCAUUUAAAAGUAUGUUUAUCUUUUGUUUUUCAAUGGUUGAAAAAUAUAAAUCAAGAGUUGAAAAGAUAUGCAUGUAAAAGUUGUUUUGUAUGCAUGAAUGAAGAAUAAGUCAUGAACAAAAUUUGGGGUUUUUUGUUCUUUGUGGUUGGCACGGUUUUGGGGGGUUUUAUGUAUGUGUUUGUGGUUUAUUGUAAGACACUCACACAUCAUUUUAAAGCUAGAAAGUAGAACCCUUGUCACUUUUGUUUUUGGGUUUGAAAAAUCACCAAGAAUACAUAAAUCUUGAAAAUGUGUUCAUGGUUUUGUUCUUGGUGUUUAUAGUUUGGUUUUGGGUGAAAAUGUUUUUAGUUGGUUUUCAUGCAUGGUUUCAUGGUUUUGGGUGAUGUUCUUACCAUCCAUAACCAUAUUAAAACCUUUUAAAACCCUAGACUUGUCUAGGAUAUUUCCAUCACUUUUUCAUUAAAACCAUUUAAUGCCAAAACCAAGUGACAAGCAAAUUUGGAUUUUUCUUCUUUGCAUUGAAUUAAAGCUUGAUGGGUGAGACUUCCCAUCCCCCUUAAUGUGGCCGGCCACCCUAGUGGAUUUAUCCACUUGGGGGGUCUUUUGUAAUCUUUGAAAAGUUGAUAUUUUAUACUUUUGAGUAUUUACGUUUUUACCCCUAACUUUUCUUAUUUACAAUUAGGCCCCUACUAACUAGAAAGUUAAAAUAUUUGAUUUUAAUUUUGUUAGUUGUUUAAACUCAUAAUACUAUUAUGUCCAUAUGCACUAAAUCUAAAUGUUUAUGUUGCAUUCCUUUAUGAUUAUUUAAAUGUGUUUAAGUAGUUAUGAAAAUGGAUGACUUUGGACUUAUGCCUUAAACGAUAAUUGAG